GGAGAGGUGCCAGAGCGGUUGAUUGGGCACGCCUGGAGAGCGUGUUUACCCCAAAAGGGUAACGUGGGUUCGAAUCCCACCCUCUCCGCCA
rnacentral:tRNA from 1 species